rnacentral:tRNA from 1 species
GAUGGUGUAGCUCAGUGGUAGAAUGUGUGCUUAGCAUGCAUGAGGUCCUGGGUUCUAUCUCCAGUACCUUCA